GUCGUUGUAGUAUAUGUGGUGAGUAUCCCCGCCUUGUCACGCGGGAGACCCGGGUUCGAUCCCCGGCAACGGCG
rnacentral:tRNA from 1 species